rnacentral:rRNA from 1 species
UCUGCUUCGGGUCAACGUAUAAAUAAAGAUAAAUCUUCCGUUUUCUUUAUCAAGGGCUGUGCUGAAGCCGUGAGACAGGAUAUUAAGAAUGUGUUGGAUGUUCCAAACGAGCACCUCUCUGAGAAAUAUCUUGGUCUCCCCUCUGAUGUAGGCCGGGCUAAAGAGGGUGCUUUCAAGUACUUGAAAGAUAGAAUCUCGAAGCAAAUUCAAGGUUGGAUGGAGAAAACUUUGUCCGUUGGGGGCAAAGAGGUGCUUAUUAAAUCUGUUGACCAAGCCAUCCCUACCUACUCGAUGGCCUGUUUUAAACUGCCUAGAGGAUUAUGCCAACACAUUAACAGGCUGCUACGUAAGUUCUGGUGGGGCUCAAAAAAGGGAGAGAGAAAGACUGCCUGGGUCUCCUGGGAAGUCAUGACACAACCAAAGUUCAUGGGAGGAAUGGGGUUCAGAGAUAUCGAGCUUUUUAACCUUGCAUUACUGGCCAAGCAGGCCUGGCGCCUCCUAUAG